UCAGAUAGCCCAUCACUGUCCAUUGAGUCAGGAAUAUCGGUGGUCAGGAAACUACUACAAUCACGCAAAGAGUCAGAACAACGGACGCAAUGUUUAGUAGUUAAUUCAACCGUAGAUAAUGGUAAUCAGGGCUUCAGAUUUCACAGGCCAGGUGUGUUGCAGACUCCCAUUCAAGCAGUCUGCUUCAGGAUCCAGGAAAAAUCACGGAUUGUCUGGUAUCAUGACAACCAGACUGGCGAGCUAACCAAUUAGCGGAUCACAGGAAUACCACAUCAUCUUCCUAUCAAGAAACUCUUCUGAAUUGGUUGGAGAUUCAGCCCAACAAUCUUGGGCUCUGAUGGAACUGGAUUAUUAUUGUUAUUUUUGCUUUUUCCCUUUCAUCAACAAAGACUUGUUGACUUCCUUGGUUUAAGGAACCCUUCUGGACUUGAACUUGUGGACCAACUUGUAUAUAUUGUAAAUAUUAAUACAAUUCACCAAUUUCACACCA